rnacentral:rRNA from 1 species
UUUUCCUACGGGACGCAGCAGUGGGGAAUAUUGCACAAUGGGGGGAACCCUGAUGCAGCGACGCCGCGUGAGUGAAGAAGUCAUUCGUGAUGUAAAGCUCUAUCAGCAGGGAAGAAAAUGACGGUACCUGACUAAGAAGCCCCGGCUAACUACGUGCCAGCAGCCGCGGUAAUACGUAGGGGGCAAGCGUUAUCCGGAUUUACUGGGUGUAAAGGGAGCGUAGACGGCAGCGCAAGUCCGAAGUGAAAGCCCGGGGCCCAACCCCGGGACUGCUUUGGAAACUGUGAAGCUGGAGUGCGGGAGGG